UCUGUCAUUCUUCGUUUGGUCGUUGAAGGGUUCGGACGUGUUUUUCGAAGCUCUCGACGUCGUGACCUAAUUAUAAUUUGAACUGCGCGGGUAAAGAACGCUCAUUUGCGGCUUGGACAUUGACCAAUACGGACGUGUUUUUAAAGCGCUCUGAAAAAAGUUUUGACUUUUAAAUUUUUUUUACUACGACAGAAUCUUAGUUGACUGAUGGUCUUUGACAAAGACAGACUUGUUUUUGUGAGCUCUGAACAAAAUUUGACUUUGAAAUAUUUUUACGAUUAAAAAGUUUCAGUUGACUUUUGAACGUUGACGAAGACGGACGUACUUUCGUGAGCUCUGACUAUUGAUGAAAAGUUUUCGCGUUAUAGAAUAGCGACUUGGUACUCAGGUUGUUGAAUGACUGGAUGACUGAAGUGUUAGGUUAUUGUUAUGAGAUAACAACUUGACUUUGACUUGAGUUGUGAAAUGAAAUCAUACUCUUAUGCGAUGUUAACUUUUGAACGUUUAGUAUUGACUGACAACGAAAUUUUGUGAGCGUUAUAUAUGAAAUGUUUGACUUACAUUAAUUUUUUUGAACGACUUGACUUCACUUUAAGUUUUGACAUCGGACUGAUCGGACGUGUUUUUUUAAGCUCUGACUGUUGUGAAUAAUUAAAUUUAUGUUGUGGUGUCAAGCGAUUGACUGUCAGUUGAGGUUCAGAUGUCGAGCUGUGCGGACGUGUUCAUCGAGCUGCUGUCUACAAAAAACUGGGCUGUGGUGAGUAUUGCAGAUUUAACUUGUAUGUGUGGUUUUUAGUUAACGAUGCUUAAUGAAAACUGUUAUUGUACACUUAGUAUGGAAUGAUGUGAAUGAUGAUAUGAUGGGUAGAAUUAAUCAGUGCUUGUGUCUAGAAAUGCUGAAUGUUUAUUGAAAAGGCUAAAUGCUAGCCAGUACUAAGAGUUGAGCUACCGUGGGAAUGUGAAACGAACUGAUGGUGUAAUAUGAUGGUGUAUUGACAUACUUUUCUUAUAUGUACUAAAUAUGAUAUUGCUUUACUUGUAUUUGCAUGCUGUUAACAUUUCUAUUUUGUUCCAGUGUGCUGUGGUGAGUACUGUAGAUAUUACUUGAUUUUUAGUGUCUAUGAAUGCUGAUGUAUGAUAGCUAUAGCAUGAGCUCAAUGCUAACCAGUAUUAUGAGUUGAUGUAUUGUGGUGAUGCUAAUCGAACUGAUGAUGUAACAUGAUGGUGAACACUUACUGAAUGCAUAAAAUUUAUUGAAUUGCAUUUGUUGAUAUGCACUAUAAUAUGAUAAAUGUAUUGCUUUACAUGUAUAUUUCAUGAUGUUUAAUUUCAGUGGGCUGUGGUGAGUACUGUAGAUUGUAUUGCCUAUGUAUAGAAUUCAAUAAAAGAUUAUGACUGAAAACUGCUUUUGAUUCUUUUUGAACAGUUUUAGGGACUAUAAGUCUAUAACAAAAAUAUGUCGGUUGGCGUUCAUACAGCAAUGUUUUGAGUAGUACAGAAAUGUUUCUACGUUUGUGGUCGCCAGUUGUCUGUGAUGUGUAAAGUGAAAAAUACACGGAGCUUUGAAUACAACAAACAGUUACUGUUUUAACACAGAUUGUGUGCUAUGCAUUUUUCGAUGUAGAUCUUUUUCAGAUUUGACAUGAAAUGUAGACCUGACAUUUGAACAGAGCUGGGAAACGAAAAGGUAAGUUUGUUAAAUUUCACAAUGAACACUUGUGUUUUGACAAAAGAAGAGAUAAAGUGAGUUUUGUCAUCAUCAUGGUUUCUUUCAGAGUAUAACUCGUGAACAGAUGAAAACCUAUUUUUUGCUAGAUUUUCAUGUACUCUUUUUUUGGAUGAUAAGUAUGUCAGUAACUCAAAAUCAUACGGCUAGUACAGUAUGGAACAUGAAUGCUUUGUUCAGAUUUUCAGAUGUGUGCUGGCAGUUCAAGUCUGGCAGCUGAAGUGAACAGUCGUGUUUUCUGGAGCUCCAACAAUAUGCUAGAAGGUAAGUAACUAUGUUUGUUUUGCAUUGCAUGUUUUUAUAUGUUUCAGACUUUCAAGCAGAGAUGUCAUGCUGACUGGAGUUGAGCACAGGGCAGUGACAAAGUGAAAGGUAAGUACUUUUGACUGAAUGUUUGUUCUAUGCAUGUUUUGUUUUAAUACAUUUCAGGAGUGCUUAUCCAGUGAUGAUAUGACAGUUGGAGUGAACAGUGGAGCCAAGCAGUCUUGUUUUUAGAGCUACUCAACAAGCCUUGAAGGUAAGUUUAGAAUUUCUCAAUGUUAGUGAAUUGAAGUACUGUCACUUGCUUUUGGACAGUCGAACAGAACAGACGUGGUUGCGAGAGCUCUCAUAUCUGUUGUGUUAAACUGUUUUUAUGAUAUGUUAUGUUUGUUUGUUUGUUUGUGAUGUACUAUUUUUCAGAUGCUGAUGGCAGUGAUGGGUUUUCAAGCUGACCUGAACAGAAAAGCACUCAUAUGGUAAGUACAAAAUAGUUGUUAUAUGGGAUGUUUUGUGCAUGCUUUUAUGUUUCAGGUGUACUUGCUGACAGCGACGAAGACGAAUCAAGAAGAGGAACAUUGUUGAGAAAGUGAUUGGGACUUGCAAACAGGGUAAGUGUAACACUUGUGUUUGUUUAAUUUGUAACAUGCGUGCUUUGCUCUGUUUCAGAUUUCACAUGCAGAAAUUAAACAGGAUUUCAACUGCUGAGACACAAUUCAUCAAAAGUAAGGUAAGUUUUAAUUCAUUGAUUUGAGUUGUACAAUGUGUUCUUUACUUUAUUUCAGAUUCGAGUCACUGGUUUACACAUGGAAGAAGAUUUCCACGUCUGUUACUCAACUCUACAGAAGCAAGGUAAGUCGAUCAAAUUUUUGUUUUCAUUGACUGCUGUAAUGUGAUGUUAUGCUAUUUUUUAUGUGUGCUAUGCAGAGAUGGAGAAUUCAAUUUUAAGAAAGAUUAACUGCUGCAGAUUAGCUCUGCUCUGUGUUGAUUUUUGUUCAAAAACGUUUAAAAUGUAUGUGUGUUUUCAGAUGUUUUGUUUCAGUUGAUGUCCAGAUGGCAAGCAGUACAGACGUGUUUCUUGGAGCUGCCAAACAGUGAGUACAAACGUUUUAUAUUUUUCAGUUGUUUACUCAUAGAAGUCUGUGAAAGAUGAUAACAAGGGUUGAAUCUAUCAGCACUUGUGUCUAAAAAUGCUGAUGUGUGACGGUUUACUGAAAAGGGUAAAUGCUAGCCAGUACUUACACUUGAGCAACCGUGGGAUGUCGAACUAACUGAUGAUGUACUAUGAUGGUGAACACUUACUAUGUGUAUCAAAAUGCUUUUGUUGAUAUUUACUAUAGAUGAUUUGAUAUUGGUUAACAUUUGUUUGCAUGCUGUUAACAUUUCUAUUUCAUUUCAGGGAGCUGUGGUGAGUAUUGUAGUAUACAUUUGUUUCAAUAAACCAUGAUUAAUGAAAACUGAUUUCGAUUCUUUUUUACAGUUUUAGGGAUUAUCACUCUAUAACAACUCUGUCGGUUGGUGUUCGUGAAUGUGAGCUUAAUGUUUGAGUAGUACAAAAAUGUCUUUACUUUUGUGAUCGCCAGUUGUCUGUGAUUUAAAGUGAAAAAUACACAGAGCUAUGAAGCAUACACUUGUUUCAAUAUUUUAUCAAUGAUUCAUCAAUGAUAGUGUGCUAUGCAUGUUUUGAUUUAGUUCGUUUCAGGUAUGACAUGACAUGAAGAGUUGACAGUCGAACAGAGCUGAGCAACGCAGAAAGGUAAGUGUGUUUCAUUUUAGUAUGAACACUUGUAUUUUGUUUUUAUAUGGUAUGUUUUGUGCAUGCUAUGUUUCAGGUGUACUUGUAGUCAGCGACGAAGACGAUUCAAGAAGAGGAACAUUGCUGAGAAAGUGAAUGGGACAUGCAAACAGGGUAAGUGUUACAAUUGUUGGUUUGAUUUUUACCAUGCAUACUUUGCUUUACUCUGUUUCAGAUUUCACAUGCAGAAAUGGUCUCAUAGCAGUGCCAACAGUGAAUAAGGAUUUCAUCUGCUGUGAAACAACUCAACAGAAAGUAGGUAAGCAUUGAAUGAAUGCACUUGAGCUGUACAAUUUGAUGUGAUGCUUUUCUCUGUUUCAGAUUCAAGUUCCUGGUGUAGACAGAGAAAUGUGUUUGAAGAAGGAAUUCUACUACUGUGAUUCAACUCUACAGAAGCAAGGUAAGUAGAAACAAAAUUUUGGUUUAAUUUAACUCAUGUGUUUUGCACUGCAUGCUAUUUUUCAGGUCUCUCAUGCAGUGAGGGAAAAGAAGAAGAUUUCAAGAAAAAAUCACUGCUGCAACUCAGGCCGAUAACAAGGUAAGCGUUUACUAUAUUGUAUACAAAAUGUUUUUCUGUUUUACUCUGUUUCAGGUUUCAAUUGCAGAGAUGUUGCAGAGAUGAUUUGACAGCUUGUGGCAGAAAAGAAAUUCAGCAUCUGUUUCUCGACUCUAGCCACGAGGUAAGUCAAAACAAAUAUACUGGUUUGUAUGUAAUGUUGUUAUGCCCUUCUAUGUUUCAGACUUACAUUGCUGUGACUGUUCCACAGUGGGUCAAAAAAGAGACGAAUACAGGUUUCAAGAAGAAAAUUGGCUGUUAAAAACCUGCACAAAAUAUGAGGUAAGUAAACUACUCUUUUGGUUUGUUUUGUGCUUUGUUAUGCUUAACUAUUUUUCAGAUUGGAAUGGUGGGUCGUUACAGAGCAGACUUUUGGACUACUGAGAAGUUGAGAAACAGAGAAUGAUUCAAGAUCAGCUAGGUAAGUCUUGAUUAUUAUGCAUUGCUAAAUGUUUUUUUCAUUCCAGUAUGGCUGUGGUAAGUACACAAACUUUCUAUAAUUUAAUAUUGAACUGUUUUUAUGACCUGUAUUCUGCAUUGUAAAAUGUCUGUUUUUCAUUUCAGUAUCCUGUGGUAAGUACACUAACUUUGUAUAAUUUCAUAUUGAAAUGUUUUGAUGACUUGUAUCCUGCUAUGCAAUGCUUAAUAUAUUUUUCAUUUCAGUGUGGCUGUGGUAAGUACAAUUGCCUUCUUUAAUUUUCAUAUUGAACUGUUUUGAUGAUUUGUAUACUGCUAUGCAAUGCUUAUUGUUUUUUACAUUUCAGUGUGGCUGUGGUAAGUACAAUUGCCUUUCAUAUUGAACUGUUUUGAUGACCUGUAUUUUGCAUUGUAAAAUGUGUUUCUUUUUCAUUUCAGUAUGGCUGUGGUAAGUACACAAACUUUCUUUAAUUUUCAUAUUGAACUGUUUUGAUGACUUGUAUUCUGCUAUACAAAAUGUGCUUUUUUCAAUUUCAGGUCAGCAAUGGUAAGUAUAGUGUGUUUUUUUAUGUAUAAUUUUGUAUACAUAUUGUUUUUUUUCAUCAUAGCAUGUAUUUUAUAUUUAUGCUUUGUGUAAGUAAAAUGUUCAUAAAUCAUUCUUAUCUUCAAACUAAAAAUGUAUUGUGCUAUGCAAAAUGUCUGUAUGAUUUCAGUUGCCAGAGGUGAGUACCAUUACAGUUGAAAAGUUAGUUUUGUUUAGUUAAAGUUUUGGUUCACAGUUCUGUUUGUUAUUUGGCAAAAUUUACAUGUAUGCAUUGAGUCUUGAUUUCAGCUCGAUUGUGGACUGAAGAAGAUUGCCCGCAGAGGGAUUGGAUACAAAAUACAAAGUAAGUACUGAGUUUCUUACUAAAAGUUUUGAGUUGUAUUCAUUGUAUGUUAAUAUGCUAUGAUUGCUAUGAACAUGACUUUUGUAUUUCAGCGAAGACAACAUAGGUAAGUAAAAUUGUUAUCUGUUUCAUGUUUACUGUUACAGUUCAAUAUUGUGUUUAUAAAUUGUAAGUUGUACAAACACAUUCAAAAGUUUCUAAUCAUGCUUUCGAUUUCAUUUCAGCUUUACUGCUAGACGAGUGUUCUCUACUACUUGACGAGUCAGCUUUACUACCAGGCGAGCAGUGACAACAAGGCGCCUUUGUGGAAACAACACAACAAAAAACUGUACUGCUAGACGAGCAGUGACAGAAAGGCGCCUGAACAUGCAACACAAAACAAAAAAUGCCAAUAUACAAACCUUGAUGUGAACACCGAGUAGUCAAUGCAUACGUGUGGCGUACAGCUGCGACAAAACCGUGGGUCCAUCGCACCGAUAACUCGAACAUUGGACCGCGUAUGGACAUCAGUGCAACUUUGUGAAUCCAUGUAACUUUGUGAAUCCAUGUAACAUUGCGAAUAUGUGUCGAUCGAAAAAUGUGUACAUUCUGCACUGAAACGAACUCGGUGUUGCAAGUGGCAAGUGUUGACAGUGUGUAUGUUUAUGUUUAUGUUUUUACAUGAAAACUAAAGGAGAUUGUUCUCCUACCUUUUUUUUCCUUGUUUUAUUGCGCUGGCCAGCAAUAUUGAUGUAUGUGUUUGUGUUUAAACUAUGCAAUACCAAAAUCAAACAAAAAUAAACAUUAACAGUCAUUAACUGUG